GCUGCUCGUAAUAAUCACACACCUCUCCGUGGUGAGCAGCAGGCAACGAUCUAUUAUGAUCGGCGAAGAUGUGAUG
rnacentral:ribozyme from 1 species